rnacentral:rRNA from 1 species
UACAGAGGUCUCGAGCGUUGUUCGGAUUCAUUGGGCGUAAAGGGUGCGUAGGUGGCGCUGUAAGUCAGGUGUGAAAUUUCGGAGCUUAACUCCGAAACUGCAUUUGAUACUGCGGUGCUUGAGGACUGGAGAGGAGACUGGAAUUUACGGUGUAGCAGUGAAAUGCGUAGAGAUCGUAAGGAAGACCAGUGGCGAAGGCGGGUCUCUGGACAGUUCCUGACACUGAGGCAACGAAGGCCAGGGGAGCAAACGGG